rnacentral:lncRNA from 1 species
GCCAUUCGGCACCAUUAGCAAGCUGUUUGCAGGAGCAGAAAUAGCUGUGUUCUCAUCCACCCUGCCAGCUGGCCAUAGCACAGCUGUAGUGCCAUGGGUGGCAAGGAGCAGAGCUGUGGGCCUCGGGACACCCGCUGGCCCCCUAUAGAAUUGCAGUCACAUAGCCUACAGCUCUGGGGCAGUAGUCCCUCAUUAACUCUGCAUCAAACUAUUCCCAGAUGCCUUUGCGGGCAUGUAGAUUAGCUGCACUGUAACACAGAAUGCAGUCAGCUGUCGGUGUCUCUCUGCGAGGGCACCUGUGGCCCUUUGGGUGAGGUACAGCCGUUGGCUGGUGCCCACUCAAAUCUCAGUCUAAAUAAAAUGGGAUAAAAGUCCAGCCAGAGCCCAUGAAGAGCAGCACAUCAGCCGCUGGCUCAGUGCUGAGGCAUUAGCAAAGCUGUAUGCCAAUGAGUAAAUACCCAGCUCUCAGCAGGGGACCGUUUUCAGGGCAAAGCAAAUGGGUAGACACACCACAGAGGAACAGCAAGGAGCGGUCGCAGCCACAUGGUAUCCCUUAUAACCAGCCACCAACUCACUAGAGAUCCCUCACUCAGGGUGUCAUGCUGCUGCCCAGCACUAUAGGAGCACAGUGUCUUUUGUGCAAACUGCAUAGUGAAGUAAGUCCCUAGCAGCCAUCAGCCUCCAUGUUGUAAUGAGGGUGGGGGGCCACUAGCUGUCUUCUACUGAAGCCAAUGGGAGUGACCUCUGGGAUGAUUUUGGCCUAACCUGGCUGUAGAAGCUCACUUAUACAUGGGAGCAGGCAGCAGCUUUCUGCAGCACAAGAUCUGAUAAGCCUUCUCACAGGGGAGGGCUGAGGCCUGUGUGAACCACUGCUCCAGCGCCAUGGAGCACCAGCAAUCAAAAGGAGCUUGGGAGUUCCAUACCCUGUCAACAGAGGAUCCUAGUCUGAGGCAGGACAAGUGUGCUGUAUUUCCCCGAUCGCUGGUGGCACGCCACCCUCAACUUGGACACAAGUGUCUUCAUCUCCACCUUCCUGGGGUAGAAACUCAGGGCUUUGCCUACCAGCCUGCCAUUCCUCAGGAGCUGAAUUGUUCACUUCCCUCCCGCCAAAGCCCUGGGAUGCUGCUGGUGAAUUCUAGCCAUCUCUCUCCACUGUAACCCUGCAGGCAGAGCUGGACUCUGGCAGUGGGGCUGAUCCAGCUCUAAUCCAUCUAGGAUUUAUCCUGGUCUAUAUGAGCACCCCCAUCAUUCUGUGAUGCAGCAGCUGCUGAGGUUGGGUUGGAGGGGGAACCCGUCUCCUUUCUCCCAUACAGGGCAGGAGCUUCCACCAGCUGGUGGCGUUUUCUGCUGUACUUACAACUCUGCACUUUCUGUUCCUCAGCUCCAUUGGCAGAGCUCCUCCUGCCUGCCUGCUCACCCCACCCCCUUCCUUCACAUCCGCUUUGUGUUUCUAACAUCUGAGGAACAGAGUCCAUGGCAGAAGGCAGCUUCUAGCUCAACUCUGGUCUCUAGGCAGGAGUGACAUUACGAUGUAGGCUCUUCUUUAAAUAGACCAUUGGUCAGUAGCACAGAACCAGCCACUCCAGCUCUAGAGCUAAACCACCAGGUAUAGGGCAUGGUCUAGUCUCAGAUGUCCUUGUAUCUGCCCCUGGUGACCCUCCCUCAGCAGCUCUGCUGAGAACUCAUUUCCUGGUGCUCAUUCAUGGGUGCAGGGAAAAAUUGAAGGACCAGUGUCUGUUACCCGGGAAUACCCUGCGGCUGGGGGUGGCUGGGCUGGCUUUCACUUGAAUGUUAAUGUUCAAGCAGCAAAGGAUACUUGAAGUAGGAGUUUAGGUUAUUUAUGGGCAUUUUCCCAUUUCAAAUCUGGAUUAAAAUAUAACUGCCUUAUCUCUGCACUUGUCGUGACUGCCUUAGAACUGAAUCUUACCACACCACAGCCAGCCUCUGACACAAGCAGCUGUUACCUUUUCCUCUCAUUUACUCUUGGCCCCCAGGGAUGGUGGUAAAUUCAUCCCCCUCUGCCAUGCCCAGGAUUAUUCCAGGACUCAAUCUGGUUUAGGGGUUAUUUUCACAAUUGUUGCCCCUCCCCUCGAUGCAGAGUUUGUGCUUUUCAACCAGCACCUUACACACACAAUCUGACUACGCUGCAGCUGGGAGG